AUUUGCCACUAACACUGUCUGAAUAGAUUUGAAACAGUAAGUGUAACGGGCUCAAAUGGACAGUGCCUAUUAUCUCUUCCCUUUUCUCCCGUGCCCUUUUAUGGCCUAUAACUUCAUUCAAUCUGUAGCUACAUUUAUGUUCCUUUUACAACAAAAAGGGUCAUAAUGCUGCCUCUGAUAAUACUGAAAUUGCCUAAUUUGUUCAUCUUCUUGCAAGGCCUCGGAGCUGGUCACCUUCUCAAGUUAUGCCUGGGUUUGUCCCCAUCAACUUUGGUGAAAAUUAAGAUUCCCGUUUAGGCACCGGCCAUCUCGCCCACGAAAUGCCUCAGGGCUGGACGAAUCAACCAGAGAGAGAGGUGGUGGGGACGAGGGGAGGCCUAGUCUCACCGGCCCGGGGAACUCUCUCUCUCUCUCUCUCUCUCUCUCUCUCUCUCUCUCCCCCAGCCGCAGGGACCCCCACUGGAGCAAGCCAAGGCGUCCCCAGCGAGCUUCUAGGCGGGGAGGGGGCAGUUCUGCAAAUCCCCAAGGCUGGGAGCAAGCUGCCCUGCCGGUCAGCUGACGCUGCGAAGGGGAGAGUGAAGGAAUGAGAGGAAUUUGCUUGCUCAGAAGAUGGGAGCGAUAGGGACUCCCCAUUCCGACCCCGAGCGCGAGCAGGCGCGGGGGCGAAGCCGGGCCUCCCCGCAGCUGUUGCCACUCGGGCUGUCAGCGCGGCGGCCUCUGCUUGCGGCCGCGCUGCUGGGACUCUGAUGGCCGUGCGGGGCCGGCCGCGGCAGCUGCUACUGCCUUGACUGUUGCCCCUGACCCUUCUGCUGUUUCUUCCUUGAUUUUAGCAUCAGCUUUUUUUCUCCCCCUCUCCUUUUUCCUGGCAGCACCUCUUGCAAAAAGGCAGAAAACAGCCUCCACAUUUGCUAGAUAGAGCGCGUGGGUGCGGGGGAGAGAGGCCGGGGCGGAGUGCUCCAGGCUUCGAACAAAGCUGGGAUCCCGGGCCCCUCCUGUCCCUUCUCCCCGCUCUGGUUAGCGGUGUCCUUCCCGCUGCAGCAAUGCUUUGUCAGCCUCGUGCCGGGAGCGAACUCCCGCACCGUCUCCUCCUGCUUGCUGACUUUGAAGGAUGCUUCACCCCUCACCCCCUCCAACAAGGGAGAAGAAAUACCAAAGAUAGAAUGGGGAGGGCAUGUUCCAGUUGGAUUGUGCUAAUGCACAUAUUCAUGAAUCUCUCCAAACAGGAUUCACUGCUCUCCAGGGAACCCUUGAAGUAUGCAUCAUUGUUUCAAUGAAGUAUCUUCAUUAUAAAACAUAGGGACUAUAAAAGGAGGUCUUCAUGAGGCAAGUGAAAUGACUGCCAAUAACUUCACCAAAAAGACAAAUUUGUUUUUUCUGUACUCUAAUAUUUUCCAUCCAGUGGAAUAAAUCCUGUUAUAAGGAAAUAGAGUAGUAUGGUUGGUUUACUCUGUACCCUGUACCCAUGUCUGCCUCACAAAGAUGCAAUGGGAUGGUGAAAUGAUGUCAUGAAGUAAAAUGGAAUUGCUGGGCAGAUAAAGCAACAGGCAAACACUGUAGCUUGCAAAAUAGGUUAGUCACAUAAAGGAUCUGAUAACACAAGUGAUAAGUGUGUAUUUUUUACCAAAAAGCAACAAACAGAUUUUUAGUUCAGAAAUUAACAUGAUCAAGUUAACCAUUCUAACAGUUAGAAGUAAUCAGGAAAACAGAUUAGAAUGGUAAGAAAUUAGAUUCAGUAUUGUAGUUUACAUCACUGGUCCUAAUCCUUUAUUCAUCGCUGUAUCUAUGUGUUUUGUCACAUGAAAAAAGAGGAAGAACAUUUUUAUUCCUUGAUUUUGAUCACAAGUCAGUAUGACUUGCUUUUGCAAUAAUAUAAAGUAAAAGAAUGUUGUACAAGUGCACCAAGAUUCAGAGGCUUUUAGAGUUACUGCUUCUGCUAAUGUGGUUUUACCACUGCAUACUUGGGCUAAACACUUGUCCUAGCAGGAUAAAGACAGACAUGUGGAGCAGAGCCAUAUUUUCCAACUUAACAUAGCCUACAUCAACCAAUUCAGCCUGCAUCAGUCAACCACCAGAUGAACACAUAACCAGCCCAGAUAAGUGAAUCAAUCACAAGCAAAGUUCAGCAUAGACAGUUGACCCACUAAUUCAUGAGAAUAAAUUAUUUCUGUUUUAAGCAACUGAAUGUUGAGUGAUUUGUUUUAACAAAAGUGUGAAUUUGGCCAUAGUUAACUAGAAACAUUCAGAACUCUGACAUUGGAGUGUAACAAUAAUCACCAGAAAAAUGCAAGGAACUAAAUCAAGACCACUUUGGAGGGGUUGAAGAAGGGCAUCUAAAACCUGAGAGGUAUUUAGGAUGUUUCCAAGGAUGAUGACAAAGUUUCCAACUGAGUGAGGAAGUACAGAAUUGGAGAUGGCAAUGCUCAGUUAAUUUUUAGAACUGGGUCUUAGUCUAAGUGAGAAUAUAGAAAGCAAACUAGUUUCAUGAAUUUAACAACUAAGAAAAAUAUGUAGAACAUGAGAGAAUCAAGAUCCUGGACUGCAAUAAUAAAUCAUAAAGAGAAGCAUCAGAGUUAACUCACUGAAGCCUAUGAGGAUAAUAGAGAAAUUAACUAACUUGAGUUUUUAAAAACAUAGUUUGUCAGUUGAAAGGUCAUUGGCAACCUUAAUGUUAUCAACUUGAACGUAGUGGGAAAAGGAACCAAACUGGGGUGAGUUAAGAAUCAAUGGCAAAAAGUGGCUCCCAGGUAACAGGAAAGGAUAAUUUGUUUGACAUGAUGACAAGUCCAAAGGGAGCAUGGUGUAUCCUAAUGAGAAGGCUAGAGACAUAAAGUAUAGCAGAGAGGAUCACCUGAGGAAAAAAUUGGUCUUUCAAAUAUUUGUGAUGCUUAUAUUAGAUAAUCUUGGUUAAUAAUAAUGUAAUCAUUAUUUAUUUACUGAGUACAAACUGGGAAAUAAUAAUACUCAGGGUACCAAGAAUUAAAAGUGUAUUAUCAUUUUUAAAAUGCUAAAAUAGACUAUGAUAUAUGAAAACUUAUUAUGAAUAGGAAAACUGAGGCUUAAAGAUAUUAUAUAACAUUUCCAAAGUCAUGAAGAGCAGAAUUUUGACACAAGCAUAUUAAUUCUUUUGUAUUAUUCUAAAGUACUCAGUAACUUACAGAACACUAGAAACAAAUGUGUGUAUGCAUUGUGCAUACACACACAUGUACAUUCACAUACACGAAUAGUAUGAAUUGAGUAGGCAGAUUAAUUUCCCAGUGCCAAAACAACACCUUGAAAUAAUUUCCCACAUAUUAAUAGAGAAAUUUAAUGGUUAAGAACUCUGAGUCACCUGAAGGUUGGAGAUAUUAAAUAGCAUUUCUCUGCAGAUGACUAGAUGGAAAUUAUUCUUGGUUCUUUUUUUUAAAAAGUUUUAUUUAAUGAGUAUAAGUUUCCAAAGUACAGCUUAUGGAUUACAAUGGCUUCCCCCCCAUAACGUCCCUCCAACCCGCAACCCUCCCCUUUCCCACUCCCUCUCCCCUUCCAUUCACAUCAAGAUUCAUUUUCGUUUCUUUUUAUAUACAGAAGAUCAGUUUAGCAUACAUUAAGUAAAGAUUUCAACAGUUUGCUCCCACACAGA